rnacentral:rRNA from 1 species
GACGUACGCUGGCGGCGUGCUUAACACAUGCAAGUCGAACGGAAAGGCCCUGCUUUUGUGGGGUGCUCGAGUGGCGAACGGGUGAGUAACACGUGAGUAACCUGCCCUUGACUUUGGGAUAACUUCAGGAAACUGGGGCUAAUACCGGAUAGGAGCUCCUGCUGCAUGGUGGGGGUUGGAAAGUUUCGGCGGUUGGGGAUGGACUCGCGGCUUAUCAGCUUGUUGGUGGGGUAGUGGCUUACCAAGGCUUUGACGGGUAGCCGGCCUGAGAGGGUGACCGGCCACAUUGGGACUGAGAUACGGCCCAGACUCCUACGGGAGGCAGCAGUGGGGAAUAUUGCACAAUGGGCGGAAGCCUGAUGCAGCAACGCCGCGUGCGGGAUGAAGGCCUUCGGGUUGUAAACCGCUUUCGCCUGUGACGAAGCGUGAGUGACGGUAAUGGGUAAAGAAGCACCGGCUAACUACGUG